rnacentral:tRNA from 1 species
CAGGCCAUAGCGCAGUUGGUAGCGCGCCGGGCUGGGGGUCCGGAGGUCGUGAGUUCAAGUCUCACUGGCCUGA